rnacentral:lncRNA from 1 species
CCCCUUUUUUAAAGUAAUUUUAACAUAACUUUUGGCUUCAUAUAGGAGCAGAAUAACACGAGACUAUGUCUACUAGUCAAAAUUAAACAAAAAAUGUAUUUGUUAUUUGCAUACCGGUAUGUUGAUUGCUGGGUAAAAUUUAUUCUCAUUUCAUUCUGAAAAUGUGUUAUUGAAAUAAUAUGUUAAGUUUGUUCAAAUUUAUGUUUUU